AUACAAACUUAAUUAAUCAAAUAGAUCCUUCUAUUUCUUCAACUAAUUUUACACUUGGCGUGGGCGAACUCGAUGUGAAAUUCAAGACUAGUGGACAAAAUUUCUCUUGGUAUUGUGGAAGCUCGAGAAGAGAAGUGGUUUUGGACAAACCGGCAAAUAAAGCACGAGUGUAUUAUCGAAAAAAUGAAGACGUAGAAAUAUUCAUUGAAGAUUGUCCCCAGGUUAAGUCUAAAAAAUUCAGUGUUACAGCUGGUAAAAGUGUUUGUUACGGCGAAAGUUUUUCCUAUGCGUGUCCUGGGAUAGAAGGAAAAAGUCAUCCUUGCAGUUAUGAACUAAUGAUUAACAAAAAAACAACUAAAGUAUCUCAGGACAAGUCUUUCAUUACCUAAACACAACCAGUGGUGUCUAAACUAGAUUCCAUCCUUCAAGAUCAUUGGCAUAUCCAAGUUUGCAAGUUUUUUUCCAGCUUUCCACUACAUCAAUAUAUCAUUCCAUUUCUUGAAAUGUUGUUUUUUACCUUGUUCAGAAUGUACGCCAAAUGAAAUUUAAAGAAUUUCUAAGCAACGCAGGAAAUGUUGAUUAAGCCAUUACUGCGCAGGUGACAGCGUACAUAACAGAGCUUCAAGCAUCAGGAUCAGUGACUGACAACAUAGUGACGGACGCUGAAGGAGGGAGAAAGUCACUAUCUUACAUUGCCUUUGUCAAAUCUCUCUUGUAAAAUCAAUAGCUCAGAUUUUGAAAUAUGAGCCAGCAAAACUUCUACUACAAUCUGUGUCGUUAUUUUGCUAUGAAGCUUUACAAAAACUUCGCCCGUGAAUUGUUCGUGUUGAAAGUAUGAGAGCUCCAAAACCUGGGGAGAGAGCGAUACCAUGACUGGAUCACCGCUGACCAAUGAUGUUGCGCCCUUGGACAACAAUGCUCCAAAGGGCAUCAUACUAUUAACAGGUGGUAAGUUUACAGCUGAUGAUUGUUUUCAACGAGUAUUUGAGAUGUGUUCCAUGUAAAGGCAGGUUUUAGUUCAAAACCUCUCGAAAGUUAUAAGCCAGGGGGACAUUGGAUUGGUAUAACUCACAACCUGUUAAUUUUAACACGUUCUAUAAAUAUUUACCAGCAAUGUGCGAGGUAGAUUACAUUGACAUGAAAGGUUGAGGAUUUUCAAAUGAUUUUCGAAAGGUUACGUGCCCAACAACCCUCUAAGAAAGGAACAUUUUCAUUGAUGAACAAACAAUAAUGUCUCGGACUGAUUAUCGAAGCACAUCAUUGUUAGAUGAUGCAAAAGGCCAAGUUCUACUCUGGUUAUGUCAGUUUGAAAAGCACUUCAACAACCUGCUCCAGUGGAUGUUUCAAGUCCAAAGAAAAUUGAGGUAGAUAAGAAGAAAGAAGCAUGUGUUAGUACGACAAAUACACGACGUACUUUAAAAGUUAUUGAACAUGGAAAACAUGUAUGUUGUUUUAUUUUAUGUAAUAAACAUGUGUUUGUUUUUAACUUUGUGAGCAAUUAUUAGUUUUUCCAAUUUUUUCGUAAGAGAUAUUUUAAUUUUAACAUGAAUAUAUUUACAUCAUCGAGAUGCGUUAGAAACGCGUUAAAUUUCAUCACCUUGUUAGUUAUUCAGAGAUGAAAUGUAAUGUGGAGUUACGACAGUCAUUACUUACAUCACUUCUUGAACUUUAGCCACUAUGCCAUAUGGAACAUCAAAAUACUGGACGCUGAUUGGCCGAGUGACUUUGGCUGUGUUCUAAUUCUAGAUAUCUGUAGAUAUGACGUCAUUACUACGAAAAAUUUUUUCUACCAUUAUUGACUGACGCCAUUAAAAGCCGAAUUUGAAAAAAAUCAAAUAAAGUGAUGUUUACCACAGUUUCUAAAAACAAUAAGCGAAAGAUUUCGAACAAAAUUGAUGCAGAAAACACUAAAAAAGCGACGAAGCUGGUUUCGAACAUAUUUACAGCAUAUUUAAACAAGAAGAACUCGAAAAAACCGUUUGACAAUUACAACUAAGGGCAGGUUUCGAAAUGUUUUACAUUGAUGAGUGUAAAUAAUAUUUCAGUUUGUUGAGGUGAAUGAUAAAA